AGAUUGAACGCUGGCGGCAGGCCUAACACAUGCAAGUCGAGCGGCAGCACGGGUACUUGUACCUGGUGGCGAGCGGCGGACGGGUGAGUAAUGCCUAGGAAUCUGCCUGGUAGUGGGGGAUAACGCUCGGAAACGGACGCUAAUACCGCAUACGUCCUACGGGAGAAAGCAGGGGACCUUCGGGCCUUGCGCUAUCAGAUGAGCCUAGGUCGGAUUAGCUAGUUGGUGAGGUAAUGGCUCACCAAGGCGACGAUCCGUAACUGGUCUGAGAGGAUGAUCAGUCACACUGAACUGACGACACGGUCCAGACUCGACGGGAGCAGUCAGGUGGGAAUAGUGGACAAGUGGGACUAAAGCCUAGACUCCGAGCCAUCGGCCGCGUGUGACGGAAGGUAACGUUCGUUACGGUAUUA
rnacentral:rRNA from 1 species